ensembl:lncRNA novel transcript
AUACUUAUGUACACUUACAUACGAAAAUGGAUGUUUAAAUGCAGGUAGAUGAGUAUUUGUCCUAAAAUGUGAUCUUCCUUGUUGAUGCUGGAGCUUGAGGAGCUAUCCCUAUGCUCUGCUGCCACCUUGGAAACUCAGAAGGAUUUACAACGGAGUUCUGCACAGGGGAAGCUGGAAGCAGCAUUCCCACAGCCUCUUCUGGGGCUGGCAAGGCUCAGAGAGGCAUUUGAAAUGGCUAUUAUUGACACCCAUAGACUUGGUCCGGAAUGGAGACAGAAGAAAGAUUCGGUUGAAGAUGUCCCUGUGUGGAUCUCAGUUUGCGCUCUGAGCGACGUCCUGGCUCAUUUGGGUGUGACGGUGAGAGCAGAGGCGCUCUGCUGACAGUUUUUUCUUGUCUAAGCUUCCAUUCCGCAUCCACAAUAUGACUCGCCUUCCACUCCAGUUAACUUCUUGGAAGUCCAGAGCACUUAGUCAAAGCUGUUUACAAAAUGCAAAGCAUCUGGGCGGCCAAGGCAGAGGCUCCUGUGUUCUCUAUGUAACCGCCUCCAAAAAAGCUGGGAAAUUUCGCGGAUCAAAAUGUAGGCGCUUAAAGCUGACCCUCUGCUGUCAAUGUUGGGACUUAGAUACAUUUUUUGCAUCGUCA